AAGUGCUGUCCCCUUCCAGAAGUGCCAUUUCCAGUCAGAUAAAUGGGGGGAAAGGAUCACACCCCAGAAAGGAUAUAUACCCUCACAGUACUUCAACACUUUCAGAAAGUGUACUAGAAAACACAAAAUAUACAAUUUAAAAAACCAGCCCCCGCAAGCUCUAACACCUCAUCAAGAGAAAUACCCUGCACUGUAUUCCCAUAGCUCCCUGGCUGUAACACUACAAAACACUGCAUUUUUUAGCCAAAACUUACUGAAAACAAUUGCUGAGAAUACAGAGAUUUGUUUUUUUCGGACCAUUUAAGAUUUUAACAAACGCAAGGCAUUCGAGGGAGCACACGUCUACGAGAACGGAAAUUCUGAUGGAGCUUUGUCUGUCUGGUUCAGUGGUUUCCCAGCAUGUAGAACAAUGCCCAGCAUAAUAGGAAAAUGUUCCCUGGAAUAAUUCUGCUCCCAUGUGUUUCAAGCCAACUUCUCUUUAAUAUAUGGAAUGGCAUUGCUAAAAACUUAAUAACUCAAACACUCAGGCUAUAGGAUGAAAGACGCCAAAACCAGAUUGAUGUAUUAAUACCUUCAGUUUCCUCUGGGGUAAGAGGAUUGGAGUGGGAACACUCAUCUCUUGCUGUUUGCAACACUUCUUUCCUCCUUGCCUGAAUUUUUCAGGAAAAAAAAUGUUUACUCACAUACCUCCACUGUUACACAAGACAGUGGAAGCUGGAGCCAGAGAAAGGCACAGAGGUGGAUUGAAAGCUGGUAGGAACGGGGUGUGGCAGUUUUAAUAGCAGGGCAGAGGGUAUCUUCAGCGAAGAAAUAAACGCGGGCAUAAUCACCAGUGGCCGAUUGUAGGAAGUGGUGACUAGGUUUCUACUUUGAGCUCUUAGACUGCUGUAUCUCCUAUUUUGUUCCUGCCAUCUGGGAAAUAAAGGACACGCUUUAACUGCUGGGAAGCAGGUAUGCAGGAAGCAAAACUGAGAAAGAGGCUCCGUAACCGUAAAAAAAAUGAAAAAGUGCUGUAAUCCCUCCAGCCUAAAGACGGUUAGCUCUGGUGAGUGUUUUUUCCCUUUUCUAAUUAUAGUAGUUGGUGUCUGAUAGCUUUGCACUCAUUCCCAAAACAAUUACUGGGUCAUGGGGAUCUGAAUGGGAAUGUUGUAAUGGCAUUACUACUAGACAAGACUGGCCAUUUAGCCAGAGAAAACCAGGUUGUGACAGGUUACUCCCACUCAGCAAGGGUUUUCUCUGCUGCCUACUUCGUGCCAAGGGAGUUUCUCUCUGUCUGCGUCUCCUGCCUAAGAGAGCAGAGCACUCA